rnacentral:rRNA from 1 species
AUAUUGGACAAUGGGCGAAAGCCUGAUCCAGCCAUGCCGCGUGUGUGAAGAAGGUCUUCGGAUUGUAAAGCACUUUAAGUUGGGAGGAGAGGCAGUAAGCGAAUACCUUGCUGUUUUGACGUUACCGACCGAAUAAGCACCGGCUAACUCUGUGCCAGCAGCCGCGGUUAUACAGGGGGUGCAAGCGUUAAUCAGAAAUACUGGGCGUAACGCGCGCGUAUGUGGUUCGUUGAGUUGGAUGUGAAAUCCCCGGGCUCAACCUGGGAACUGCAUCCAAAACUGGCGAGCUAGAGUAGGGCAGAGGGUGGUGGAAUUUCCUGUGUAGCGGUGAAAUGCGUAGAUAUAGGAAGGAACACCAGUGGCGAGGGCGACCACCUGGGCUCAUACUGACACUGAGGUGCGGAAGCGUGGGGAGCAAACA